rnacentral:rRNA from 1 species
UAGCGUAGGGUCCGAGCGUUGUUCCGGAAUUACUGGGCGUAAAGAGCUCGUUAGGUGGUUUGUCGCGUUGUUCGUGAAAACUCACAGCUCAACUGUGGGCGUGCGGGCGAUACGGGCAGACUAGAGUACUGCAGGGGAGACUGGAAUUCCUGGUGUAGCGGUGGAAUGCGCAGAUAUCAGGAGGAACACCGGUGGCGAAGGCGGGUCUCUGGGCAGUAACUGACGCUGAGGAGCGAAAGCGUGGGGAGCGAACAGG